GACGAACGCUGGCGGCGUGCCUAACACAUGCAAGUCGAGCGGGGACUUAUGGAAUGAAGCUUCGGCAGAAUGAAGUAAGUUCUAGCGGCGGACGGGAGAGUAACGCGUGAGCAACCUGCCUAUCACAGGGGAAUAACGGAACGAAAAGUGUGCUAAUACAGCAUGAGACCACAGAGGGACAUCCCUUAGGGGUCAAAGAUAUUAUCGGUGAUAGAUGGGCUCGCGUCUGAUUAGCUAGUUGGUGAGGUAACGGCCCACCAAGGCGACUAUCAGUAGCCGACCUGAGAGGGUGAUCGGCCACAUUGGAACUGAGAAACGGUCCAAACUCCUACGGGAGGCAGCAGUGGGGAAUAUUGGGCAAUGGGGGGAACCCUGACCCAGCAACGCCGCGUGAAGGAAGAAGGUCUUCGGAUCGUAAACUUCUAUCCUUGGUGAAGAUAAUGACGGUAGCCGAGAAGGAAGCCCCGGCUAACUACGUGCCAGCCGCCGCAGUAAGAC
rnacentral:rRNA from 1 species